UCAAUUACCUGCAAAUAAUUGCCCUCAAAUAUUUCCUUACUCUUUUUCCAGCUGUGAAAAUUCCUAAGUAAUAAUGCUUUCUGGGAGCAAGUUGGGGAAGGAAGACACCUCAUAUCAUGGACUCUUUUUAUCGUGAUGCUGAAGGCCAGGUCUGUAGUUGCAAUGUGAAACUCAUUUGCAUGUCUGUCAUGGUUGUGCAACUUACUGAACUGACAUUUGAAAAAUACAUGCGACUCAUACUGUCUCCAGUUUUGGGGAAAACUUUUGGAUUCCCACGACUCCCAAAAGAAGGAACCUAUGGAGACCUUUUGAUUUGCCUAGGUGGUAUGACCAACUUCAAC
rnacentral:lncRNA from 12 species